AGCAGCCGCGGUAAUUCCAGCUCCAAUAGCGUAUAUUAAAGUUGUUGCAGUUAAAAAGCUCGUAGUUGAAUUUCGGGGUUAGUAGGCUGGUCGUGCCACUGGUACGUACUGGUCUCACUGAUUCCUCCUUCCUGAUGAACCGUAAUGCCAUUAAUUUGGUGUUGCGGGGAAACUGGACUGUUACUUUGAAAAAAUUAGAGUGUUUAAAGCAAGCUAACGCUUGAAUACAUUAGCAUGGAAUAAUGAAAUAGGACGUUCGAUCCUAUUUUGUUGGUUUCUAGGAUUGACGUAAUGAUUAAUAGGGAUAGUUGGGGGCAUUAGUAUUCAAUUGUCAGAGGUGAAAUUCUUGGAUUUAUUGAAGACUAACUACUGCGAAAGCAUUUGCCAAGGAUGUUUUCAUUAAUCAAGAACGAAAGUUAGGGGAUCGAAGACGAUCAGAUACCGUCGUAGUCUUAACCAUAAACUAUGCCGACUAGGGAUCGGAUGAUGUUAUUUUUAAUGACUCAUUCGGCGCCUUACG
rnacentral:rRNA from 1 species